rnacentral:rRNA from 1 species
GAUGAACGCUGGCGGUGUGCCUAUACAUGCAAGUCGUACGCAUUCUCGUUUCUGAUUGACGGUGCUUGCACCUAAUUGACGAGACAUUGGAAUGAGUGGCGGACGGGUGAGUAACACGUGGGUAACCUGCCCAGAAGCGGGGGAUAACAUUUGGAAACAGAUGCUAAUACCGCAUAAAAGUCAAAACCACAUGGUUUUGAUUUAAAAGAUGGCCUUUGUGCUAUCACUUCUGGAUGGACCCGCGGCGUAUUAGCUAGUUGGUAAGGUAAUGGCUUACAAAGGCAAUGAUACGUAGCCGAACUGAGAGGUUGAUCGGCCACAAUGGGACUGAGACACGGCCCAUACUCCUACGGGAGGCAGCAGUAGGGAAUCUUCCACAAUGGGCGCAAGCCUGAUGGAGCAACACCGCGUGAGUGAAGAAGGGUUUCGGCUCGUAAAACUCUGUUGUUAAAGAAGAACGUAUCUAAGAGUAACUGCUUAGGUAGUGACGGUAUUUAACCAGAAAGCCACGGCUAACUACGUGCCAGCAGCCGCCGUAA